UACGGGGGGGGCAAGCGUUGUUCGGAAUUACUGGGCGUAAAGGGCUCGUAGGUGGCCAACUAAGUCAGACGUGAAAUCCCUCGGCUUAACCGGGGAACUGCGUCUGAUACUGGAUGGCUUGAGAUUGGGAGAGGGACGCGGAAUUCCAGGUGUAGCGGUGAAAUGCGUAGAUAUCAGGAGGAACACCAAUGGCGAAGGCAGCACUCUGGGACGUGACUGACGCUGAGACGCGAAAGCGUGGGGAGCAAACAGG
rnacentral:rRNA from 1 species